UAAUUUGGCCGCAUGUCUGGUUACACCAUAUUCCUAGAGGGGGAGUGGGGACUGGAUUCUGACAGCAAGCUUACAUUCUCUGCCCCAGAGAAUAAAGGAAAUAUAAAUCAGGGUCUCCUCCUUAUUGCAGAUUGUUAUGAAAACAGGCAAGAUUGCCCUAAAGACAGCAGAAGGCUUUGAUUUUGAAAUAGCCAAGACUUGAUUGUGUGAAUUUUUGACCGACCCAGAGGGCACUUCCUUUACCCUAAUCCCCCAGUUAGGAGAGAUCUGAGAAUUGGAAACAAUGAACGUCCCCAGGAACCAAGUCUGGGGAGUACCUUGGAUGCUGAAGCUGAGAAAGAAUGUUCCUGCCUCAGAAAUGGAGGGUACGAUCCACCUCAUCUUUCAGUCAGCCUCAUGCUCAUCUGGCUCCCAGGUUUCAGGAAAAAGAAGAGUCACUCCAAAUGAGAUUGCCCGUGCAUUCCGGGAUCUCCACACACCAUAUGCUGAGUGGUCUGUGGCUCCCUUGAAUGGCAAACAGUUAUGUCCACUUGUUUGUUUUGU